CCUACGGGAGGCAGCAGUAGGGAAUAUUGCUCAAUGGGGGAAACUCUGAAGCAGCAACGCCGCGUGGAGGAUGAAGGUUUUCGGAUUGUAAACUCCUUUUGUUAGAGAAGAUAAUGACGGUAUCUAACGAAUAAGCACCGGCCAACUGCGUGCCAGCAGCCGCGGUAAUACGGGGGGUGCAAGCGUUACUCGGUAUCACUGGGCGUAAAGGGCGCGUAGGGAGGAUAGCAAGUCAGGUGUGAAAUCCUAUGGCUUAACCAUAGAACGGCAUUUGAAACUGUUAUUCUAGAGUAUGGGGGAGGUAGGUGGAAUUCUAGGUGUAGAGGUAAAAUGCGUAGAGAUCAAGAGGAAUACUCGUUGCGAAGGCGACCUGCUAGAACAAAACUGACGCUGAUGCGCGAAAGCGUGGGGAGCAAACAGGAUUAGAUACCCGAGUAGUC
rnacentral:rRNA from 1 species